rnacentral:tRNA from 1 species
AACAAGUUUAAUGCAAGUCUUCUAAAUUUGCUUAAGGUUAUUCCUGCUUGUUU